rnacentral:rRNA from 1 species
UACGUAGGGUGCGAGCGUUAAUCGGAAUUACUGGGCGUAAAGCGUGCGCAGGCGGUUCGUUGUGUCGGCGGUGAAAGCCCCGGGCUUAACCUGGGAAUGGCCGUUGAAACUGGCGAACUGGAGUGUGGCAGAGGGGGGUGGAAUUCCGCGUGUAGCAGUGAAAUGCGUAGAGAUCGGGAGGAACACCUGUGGCGAAGGCGGCCCCCUGGGCCGCGCCUGACGCUGAGACGCGAAGGCUAGGGGAGCGAACGGG